ACCAGGAGAUUGGCCAGAUUUAGCACGAAGAAUUGCACGCGUUGCUACUGACGGCAUUUGCAUGGCAGGUACAGGAGCAGCUUUAUGGCGUUUAGGACCAGACGACGGGCCAGGUGAUACAGCAGCUGCAGACGGACUAGCUUGACGAGAUUCUGGACGACGCAGAUGAGACGAUGCAUACGACGCUGGACAAGGAGCUGCUAUUUGCUGUUGUGUAUUUUCAGGUAUUGGUGCAUCAGGCGAGCGGAAAUCUGGACAGGACGAUGGACGAGAUGGUGCAGACGCUGAGAACGAGGUAGAGAGUGCAGGAGGCGCGUCUACUGGAGGCACAGCUGUCGAGGACUGGCCCUCUGGCCAGGCCAGGACAACCGCUGAAUAGUGGGCAGGAUUCUGGCUUUGCAGGGGCCGCCUGAAAUCAUAUUUCGUUAUGAUUAGGUAAGUGAAUGUUUGCAGAAGUAUUAGUAUUGGUGUUAGAGUGAUUGUUAGUUAGGACCAUCAUGGGUGCAGUAUCAGUUUUCCUUUUUUCUUAGAGCAUCAGUGCUAUUCGUGCUGUUAUCAAUUAAUUUGAGCAACUCAGAUUCCAGACUAGCCAUGUUUAGAGCGAGUAGUUCAUUUUCCGUGUAUUGAAUUUGUUCGUUUGGCCCAAGGGGGGGCAGGCUUUCCGGGGGUUUUUUUUUUAGCUAUAGACGCUUCCUUAGCUCUGAGAACAUCUUGCUUUUCAGUGAUCCUGUUGUAGGUCUGGUGACAGUUGUCAGCAAUAAGUGCUGGCGCCUUGGAGCCAGGGUUGAGCUGAGGUGGCAUCAGUGGUGGUGUUUGGGCUUUUUUUAUCGUUCGUGAGGCGACAAGUUUAUCUAUUUGCUUUGAGUACCUAGGCCAUGGCAAACGUUUAGGGAUAAAUGGCUUUAGAUAAAGUUUUUGGUCAGACAUGAAGUUAAAGAAUCUUAGGCAAGCGUCAUUGUAUAUAGUUUCUAGAGGUUUGGCGUUAUGUUUUUCUUGAAUUUCAGAGUUUAGGCAAUAGAUGUUCGCAUUUGUUAGCUUUCUGAGCAGUUUAUUGUGAGUUCCGGUGAGCUUUUUGAAUAGGGUGUUAGAUAUUAGGCUAACCCAUAUGGGAAUAGCGUAUGUCCAAAUAGGGACUAAGAUUUGCUUGUAGAUAGUGACCUUGCAGCGGGUGCUAAGAUGGCUUUUAGCUCCCCCGAGCCAUUUGUAGCGAGUAUAGGUGGACUUGGCUUGAGCACAAAGUUUGGCAAUAUGGGUUUUAAACAGGAGUUUGCUAUCAACAAGGACUCCCAAGUAUCGCCACGAGGACGUAUUUUUAAUAGGUUUGUUAUUAAACUUAACAGUGGCAGCUUUAACAGCAGGUGAGGUAGAUCGUCUGGAUAAGAGAACAUGAACUGUUUUACUCACGUUGACUGUGAAACACCAUUUGUUGGACCAGGUAGAGAACUUGUGUAGGUAAUUUUCCGUUUUAUUCAUGGCUACAAGGGCGUUUUUAUCGGUCGAGAUGAAAAUAGUAUCGUCAGCAUAUGUAGAGAGCAGAGUGUCACCGUGUUUAUAGGUCGGGUAAUAUUCGAUCAGGGUUUCAUGCUCAAUUAUGAACUUUGGAAUUGGCAUGUCUGACGAGUAUAUGUUGUAUAGCAGGGGUCCCAAAACACUACCCUGAGGGAUUCCUGCUAAAAUUUUCCCAUCACGGGACAUAAUACCAUGGUUACCGCGAACGGAGAACGUGCGACCCUUGAGACCGCAGUGCCAAACUUUGUCAAACGCUUCUGUAAUAUCGAUGAAUAUAGGCGAUC